rnacentral:tRNA from 1 species
GCAGUGAUGGUUCAGUGGUGGAAUUCUCGCUUUCCAGGCGGGAGACCUGGGUAGGAUUCCCAGUAAACGCG